GGUAGCUCAGAUGGAUAGAGCAAUGGCCUUCUAAGCCAUCGGUCGGGGGUUCGAAUCCCUCCC
rnacentral:tRNA from 1 species